rnacentral:rRNA from 1 species
GAACGAAGCGCUUGAACAGAUUUCUUCGGAUUGAAGUUUUUGCGACUGAGUGGCGGACGGGUGAGUAACGCGUGGGUAACCUGCCUCAUACAGGGGGAUAACAGUUAGAAAUGACUGCUAAUACCGCAUAAGCGCACGGUGCUGCAUGGCACAGUGUGAAAAACUCCGGUGGUAUGAGAUGGACCCGCGUCUGAUUAGCUAGUUGGUGGGGUAACGGCCUACCAAGGCGACGAUCAGUAGCCGGCCUGAGAGGGUGAACGGCCACAUUGGGACUGAGACACGGCCCAAACUCCUACGGGAGGCAGCAGUGGGGAAUAUUGCACAAUGGGGGAAACCCUGAUGCAGCGACGCCGCGUGAGCGAAGAAGUAUUUCGGUAUGUAAAGCUCUAUCAGCAGGGAAGAAAUAGGACGGUACCUGACUAAGAAGCACCGGCUAAAUACGUGCCAGCAGCCGCGGUAAUACGUAUGGUGCAAGCGUUAUCCGGAUUUACUGGGUGUAAAGGGAGCGUAGACGGUUGUGUAAGUCUGAUGUGAAAGCCCGGGGCUCAACCCCGGGACUGCAUUGGAAACUAUGUAACUAGAGUGUCGGAGAGGUAAGCGGAAUUCCUAGUGUAGCGGUGAAAUGCGCAGAUAUUAGGAGGAACACCAGUGGCGAAGGCGGCUUACUGGACGAUCACUGACGUUGAGGCUC